rnacentral:rRNA from 1 species
AAUCUUUGAACGCACCUUGCGCUCCCUGGUAUUCCGGGGAGCAUGCCUGUUUGAGUGUCAUGGUAUUCUCAACCUUCAUAACUUUUGUUAUCGAAGGCUUGGACUUGGAGGUUGUGCUGGCUUCUAGUUAAGUCGGCUCCUCUUAAAUGUAUUAGCGUGAGUGUAACGGAUCGCUUCGGUGUGAUAAUUAUCUGCGCCGUGGUCGUGAAGUAACAUAAGCUUGCGCUUCUAACCGUCCUUCAGUUGGACAAUUACUUUGACAUCUGACCUCAAAUCAGGUAGGACUACCCGCUGAACUUAAGCAUAUCAAUAAGCGGAGGAA